rnacentral:rRNA from 1 species
CAGCAGCCGCGGUAAUACAGAGGGUGCAAGCGUUAAUCGGAAUUACUGGGCGUAAAGCGCGCGUAGGUGGUUUGUUAAGUUGGAUGUGAAAGCCCCGGGCUCAACCUGGGAACUGCAUUCGAAACUGGCAGGCUAGAGUCUUGUAGAGGGGGGUAGAAUUCCAGGUGUAGCGGUGAAAUGCGUAGAGAUCUGGAGGAAUACCGGUGGCGAAGGCGGCCCCCUGGACAAAGACUGACGCUCAGGUGCGAAAGCGUGGGGAGCAAACAGGAUUAGAUACCCCUGUAGUCCCUGUCUCUUAUAC